rnacentral:rRNA from 1 species
GAUGAACGCUGGCGGCGUGCCUAAUACAUGCAAGUCGAGCGAACGGACGCGAAGCUUGCUUUUCUGAUGUUAGCGGCGGACGGGUGAGUAACACGUGGAUAACCUACCUAUAAGACUGGGAUAACUUCGGGAAACCGGAGCUAAUACCGGAUAAUAUUUUGAACCGCAUGGUUCAAAAGUGAAGGACGGUCUUGCUGUCACUUAUAGAUGGAUCCGCGCUGCAUUAGCUAGUUGGUAAGGUAACGGCUUACCAAGGCAACGAUGCAUAGCCGACCUGAGAGGGUGAUCGGCCACACUGGAACUGAGACACGGUCCAGACUCCUACGGGAGGCAGCAGUAGGGAAUCUUCCGCAAUGGGCGAAAGCCUGACGGAGCAACGCCGCGUGAGUGAUGAAGGUCUUCGGAUCGUAAAACUCUGUUAUUAGGGAAGAACAUAUGUGUAAGUAACUGUGCACAUCUUGACGGUACCUAAUCAGAAAGCCACGGCUAACUACGUG